CCUACGGGCGGCAGCAGUGAGGAAUAUUGGUCAAUGGCCGAGAGGCUGAACAACCAAGUCGCGUGAGGGAAGACGGCCCUACGGGUUGUAAACCUCUUUUGUCGGGGAGCAAAGCGAGUCACGUGUGACUCCUUGAGAGUACCCGAACAAAAAACAUCUGCUCACUCCGUGCCAGCAGCCGCGGUAAUACGGAGGAUGCGAGCGUUAUCCGGAUUUAUUGGGUUGAAAGGGUGCGCAGGCGGAGGUGCAAGUCAGCGGUAAAAUAGCGGGGCUCAACCCCGUACUGCCGUUGACACUGCAUCCCUUGAGUGCGCGAGAAGUAUGCGGAAUGCGUGGUGUAGCGGUGAAAUGCAUAGAUAUCACGCAGAACUCCGAUUGCGAAGGCAGCAUACCGGCGCGCAACUGACGCUCAUGCACGAAAGCGUGGGUAUCGAACAGGAUUAGAUACCCUUGUAGUC
rnacentral:rRNA from 1 species